rnacentral:rRNA from 1 species
UGAGCAAUCUGCCCUUCUCUUCGGAAUAAGCGUUGGAAACGACGUCUAAUGCCGAAUACGACCUCCUUUCGCAUGAUCGGAGGUGGAAAGCUCCGGCGGAGAAGGAUGAGCUCGACGGCCUAUCAGCUAGUUGGUGUGGGUAAUGGCCCACCAAGGCGACGACGGGUAGCCGGCCUGAGAGGGUGACCGGCCACACUGGGACUGAGACACGGCCCAGACUCCUACGGGAGGNAG